GAAGAGGCUUUUGCCCAAUCCCCGCGCGUGCUCCGCUUCCAAUCCUCCUCGCGGGGUGGCGCAGCCCACACCCGCCCCAACCCUAGCCGCCACACCUCUCCUUCCUCCCUCGCUUGACACCAUAGGCGCUGCACCCCCUCCCCUCCUCCUGCUCGGGCGGAUAGCCGCCGGCCGCCGCAUCCCUUCUCCCCCUUCCUCCUCCUUCCUCCUUCCCGCUGGCGCCCAUCGCCCUCGUCCUCGGACAAGGGGCCUUCCGCAGGGAUGGCCACGUCUUCAAACCAGGGGUAGAGGAGCAGGGGAGGGUCAAGAAGCCAGCACUGGGGGUGGAGCAGCCAGGCCAAGGAGGACCCAGGUGGUGGACGCGUCAUGGUGUUAAGGACAGGCCGAUGAUAGGGAUAAGUAGGAGGAGUGCCAUGGAUCUGCAGGGAAAGGAGGGCGAUGCCCUCGGCGGGUGUCCGAGCAGGAAGCCGGCGGGGAGCACAUCACCGUAGGCGUCAAGGGAGCCAUGGACAAGCCGCCAGGAGGAGAAAGCUCCUAGUUUGUGGAGGAGACUAUGUGACAGGUGGUGUUUUGGAAUCUAGAUUGAUUUGGUACUGUAUGUUGUGUGAUGUGCCCUUGCCAAGAAUAUUUGAUGUGUGUGAUGACACAAGCAAUUGUAGAGGAGUGAACACCAUGCUCGAUUAGUGGACUGCCGCUUGAGAAGAAGCUUGUCAUUUGUCUCUUCGAGCCGCGGCGGAUAGGGGCCUUCGAAGAAUUUGGGGUUUGACAUAGCCAUCGAGGAAGUGCAGGAUACAAACCAAGUGUAAUCAAAGAGGAUAUGGAUUCAGUACGGCCAUGAGUGAAGGAAUGUUACUCCAAUUUGGAUCUUGGAGAAUGUUUUCUCAGUGUGGUUCAGGUUAAAUUGUUGUCCUACUGUUCCUGCUCAGCCUCCUAAUGUUCUAUGUCUUCGCCGCGCCUUCUUCCAGCUUCUCUAUUGGUUUUCUCUUCACACCGAUGUAAGUGCAUGUUCCUCCCUUCCUCCAAAUCUUCUCAAGCCAUGGUUGUUUGCAUCUGGUCACAGUUUUUUCAUGUUUCACUUCCGUUGGUGGUUCACACGUCGGCCUUAGUGCUCUAAGCAAACCAGCAUUUCUCAUAUUGGCGAUUGUAUUAUUGGGGCUUUGCUACAUCUGUAGGUUUGAAUCUCAUGUGGCUCCUGCGCCCAGCCACCAUCUCCUCCCUAGCUAAGCAAGAGGUUCAAAGGCCACCGCUACCUCUUCCUUGCCGCCCAGCAGGAGGGGCACUAGGUGUGCCUCAUGUUUAGUUAAUGCCCACUGAUUGUGAUGUUCAUUCUGUGGGGAAUUUUGUUUACUUUUUAUAUUUUGUGCAUUUUCUAUUUCAUGUAUUGGUCAGUGGUCCUAAAUCCCAUGUGAUUUCUUCAUUCUUCAGGCAAAUUACAUAUCAGGAGAGCCAUUUAUUAGAGGAUCUUCUAAAAGGCUUUUUACAUUUGGUUCCUGAUGUUCUGCUUCUCGGGGUUUGCUCACUUCUUUUCUAGCUAGAAAUACCAUAUUUUCCUCUCUGCGUGUACUGUCUUGGUGUUUGGUUCACUACUCGUCUUAAUAUUCCGGAUUUAGCGGGGCAUCAUGUUUUGUUCAGCCUCAUGCUCCUAAGUGUAUCUCACAUUGUAUAGGAACCUGUCCUGCGAGGACCUUGCCUUUUAUGCUUCUUUCUUGAUAAUAGAAGUAUUGAAUAUACCUGUUUCUUGUGCUCAAACAUUUUGGCUAGGUGGCAAUAUUCCAAAUAAAUGGAUGUAUCUCGAACAAAGGAGAUGUCUGAUGCAGUGAGUUGAAGUCGCUUAAUCAAGGAGAAAUUAGGCUUGUGACGCAAUUAUAUGGUUAGCAGGAAAGUUUAAACGUGAAAAAUCAGACAAAACUCUAGCAAUAUUACGUUCUAUAAACGAUUUGGCAAUUGCAUUCAGUAUCAGGUUGUGUUCAUAAUUUUGUACUUGACAGUUGUAGCUUUGAACCUACAUAGUGUUGGCAGUUGCUUGAUGAAGCCAAACUUACAACUCGAUAUUUUUAAUUUAUGCUGCAACUUGAUUAGGAAUUUCCUAUGUUAAUUUGGAACCACACAAAUUCUUAUCACGUCAUGGCUUGCUUGGGAUUCAAUUGCAGGAAGAAACUGUAUUGAACUUGCAUAAUUUUUCUUCAGAAAUAGUAUUGAAUCGGCUACUUGUUGGCAAUUUCAUGUUACAAAGUCGUCAUUAAGCGAAGAGACAGGGCAGGGGAGGACGAGGCGAAGGGGGAUGGAGAAGUGGUCGAGCUGGAGGCGUACAGGCAGGGCACCCAGAAGACGGAGCUGUGCAACAAGUGGGAGGGCGGCGCCUGCUCCUACGGCGGCUAGUGCCGGUUCGCGCACGGCCUGCAGGAUGAUGGUUUCUUAAUUUCCUUGACUAACCAGGGAAUUCAAGGAUGAUGACUGAAAGUUUUGUCAUUACUGGUUAACACUUGGCGACGAUGUGUCCAUCAGAAAUGAUCCGAUUAUCCUCUGUUGUAUUAUAUUUCCUACUUUUUGUAAAUAUGUAUGGAUGUACAUGCACGCUCUUUCGAUGUCUGAAAAUGUCUGUCAUCCCUCAGUGGGCAAAGAUGAUUUUGUUGAACAGUUUCAGUAUAUGUUACAUACCGUAUUCUUUCCAAUGUAGAAGGUAGCAGCUGACUCUGCAUUGAUGUGGUGCUUA